CGACUAAGGUUCGACUCGAGCGCCAGCGAGAGAGCGUUGCCGCAGGCAACGACCCGAAGGGCGAAGCGCGCAGCGCUGAGUAAUCCUUCCCCCACCACCA
rnacentral:sRNA from 1 species